AUACAUCACCUUUUGCACCUGACCUAAGGUUAGUUUCGACUAUGAGGAAUAUGUUGAUAACGGGGAUGAGUUAACCUAUUGGCAGGUUCUCUUACCUUGCUUGCACUUUUACACUUGUAUAUAUUUUUACUUGCAAUUUUUCAAGCUUGAUGAACUCAAUUGUUUGCAUGUAGAUAAUCACUUCAACUUAGAUGAGGUGUUGAAGACCCUACAAGCGCCAGGGAGCGAUGAGUGAUUUAUUCCAACUAGUGGUAGGUUUUUGCAUGUUUUGCUUUUGAUUUCAUAAUUAGAGCUACUUCAUUUUUUGUUCUUUCGGCUUGAUGGAUUUAACAAUGUAUAUACAAGUACAGAAUUUAACUUGGAGGAAAAAUUGAUUCCAUGCCCGAGCACAGGCACGAUAGUGAUGGAGACUUAACUCUCAUCUUGUUGAAAAAAAAAAAAAGACCAUCAAUGGAGGCAAGGUGUCAUGCCUUAGAGGAGAUUUCACAACCCUCGGACGGGCCCUUCAAAGUUAUCCCAUUGCGCAAGCCUAGAGGAUACAGUUCAAGUCACAUUACGUCUGAGCACAAGAACUCUCGUCUUCCUAAUUUUGGAUUCUCCCAUUCGAGGUUAUCAUGAGAUGGUAAUACUUCAGUCCUUGGUAACGCCUGCUCGAGCCAAGGCUAUACCCUGAGGGUAAACUUCCUGCUACACUUCCUUCUUUUUGUUUAAGUUUAUUCUUUCAAGUAUGCCUAACAGUCAUCUAUCAUUUUGUUUCUUUGCCUAUUAGGUGGUAGCCUUACAAAUUAGACAUGUUUAGUCAAAUCAUCGUCGAGCAUCGAAGUUAAAGGCUUUUGAAGAAAGAUAAUUAUCACUACAAAAAGAAAAUUUCUUCUUUGAAGAAGUCUCUUGAAGCUUUGGAGGCCCAAGCUCGCAAGGAAGAGAUAAAAUUGAUAACCUAUAGUCUAUUUUUGCCCGAGCAUAUAAAGAAGCAGUAGAAUUGUAUAAGGCCUCUAUGGGGUAUGCUAAGGAUCUAGAGGCAUCCGUGAAGCAAUAUAAAUCAUUAUCAAAUUAUGAUAAUGCCUUGCAUUUAUAUGGGAAAAAGGUGAUGGUUGCAUCCAUCAAAUUGUCUAAGAAAUGGAUAUCUCCUAAGCACCCUUCCAUCAAUCCCUUGAACUUCGACAAGUUUCUGGAGCGACGCAAAAGGAAGAGUGAACAGAGCCCAUCUAUCCAAGACAUACGAGCACACAUCGCAACGUGAAAGAGAAAGGACUUUCCACUCACACUGAUGUGGUCUUUAGUUGUAAAUAUUUAGCGCUUGCUGCUAUUAUUUAUUUUUGUCACUUGAUAGUGAAUUGGUUCCUCCUAGUCUAAAAUGUGAACAAAAAGUCACACUUUAUUUUGGGUAUGGAUUUUUCCUUAUUGAACAUAAUUGUUAGUUAGUCCUUUUGCAUCUAUCUUGCUAUAUACCCGUCGCUCGACGAUGUGCAAAAGUUAACUUGUAGGUUCUCACACAACUUUUCGUGUAUGAUAAUUUAGUAGUUAGCAGACAUAACAAGCAGGUGAGUGCACCUAGCUUCACAACAAUCAACAGAGGUGGUUUGAUUGUGACAGGGUUGAUGUGC
rnacentral:lncRNA from 1 species